GGACGAACGCUGGCGGCGUGCUUAACACAUGCAAGUCGAACGAUGGCCUAGCUUGCUAGGUAUUAGUGGCGAACGGGUGAGUAAUACGUGAGUAACCUACCUUUAACUCUGGGAUAAGCCCGGGAAACUGGGUCUAAUACCGGAUACGACCAAUUCCGCAUGGGUGUUGGUGAAAGCGUUAGUGGUUAUAGAUGGGCUCACGGCCUAUCAGCUUGUUGGUGAGGUAACGGCUCACCAAGGCGACGACGGGUAGCCGGCCUGAGAGGGUGACCGGCCACACUGGGACUGAGACACGGCCCAGACUCCUACGGGAGGCAGCAGUGGGGAAUAUUGCACAAUGGGCGCAAGCCUGAUGCAGCGACGCCGCGUGAGGGAUGACGGCCUUCGGGUUGUAAACCUCUGUUAGCAGGGAAGAAGAGAGAUUGACGGUACCUGCAGAGAAAGCGCCGGCUAACUACGUGCCAGCAGCCGCGGUAAUACGUAGGGCGCGAGCGUUGUCCGGAAUUAUUGGGCGUAAAGAGCUUGUAGGCGGUUUGUCGCGUCUGCUGUGAAAGGCCGGGGCUUAACUCCGGUAUUGCAGUGGGUACGGGCAGACUAGAGUGCAGUAGGGGAGACUGGAAUUCCUGGUGUAGCGGUGGAAUGCGCAGAUAUCAGGAGGAACACCGAUGGCGAAGGCAGGUCUCUGGGCUGUAACUGACGCUGAGAAGCGAAAGCAUGGGGAGCGAACAGGAUUAGAUACCCUGGUAGUCCAUGCCGUAAACGUUGGGCACUAGGUGUGGGGGACUUCCAGUUUUCCGCGCCGUAGCUAACGCAUUAAGUGCCCCGCCUGGGGAGUACGGCCGCAAGGCUAAAACUCAAAGAAAUUGACGGGGGCCCGCACAAGCGGCGGAGCAUGCGGAUUAAUUCGAUGCAACGCGAAGAACCUUACCAAGGCUUGACAUAACUGGACCGCAUCAGAGAUGGUGUUUCCCUUCGGGGCUGGUAUACAGGUGGUGCAUGGUUGUCGUCAGCUCGUGUCGUGAGAUGUUGGGUUAAGUCCCGCAACGAGCGCAACCCUCGUUCUAUGUUGCCAGCACGUUAUGGUGGGGACUCAUAGGAGACUGCCGGGGUCAACUCGGAGGAAGGUGGGGAUGACGUCAAAUCAUCAUGCCCCUUAUGUCUUGGGCUUCACGCAUGCUACAAUGGCCGGUACAGAGGGUUGCGAUACUGUGAGGUGGAGCUAAUCCCUAAAAGCCGGUCUCAGUUCGGAUUGGGGUCUGCAACUCGACCCCAUGAAGUCGGAGUCGCUAGUAAUCGCAGAUCAGCACGCUGCGGUGAAUACGUUCCCGGGCCUUGCACUCACCGC
rnacentral:rRNA from 2 species